rnacentral:rRNA from 1 species
UACGAAGGGGGCUAGCGUUGCUCGGAAUCACUGGGCGUAAAGCGCACGUAGGUGGUCUGUUAUGUCAGAUGUGAAAGCCCUCGGCUUAACUGAGGAAGUGCACCUGAAACUGGCAGGCUUGAGUACGAAAGAGGGUCGCGGAAUUCCCGGUGUAGAGGUGAAAUUCGUAGAUAUCGGGAGGAACACCGGUGGCGAAGGCAGCUCGCUGGGACGGUACUGACGCUGAGGCGCGAAAGCGUGGGGAGCAAACAGG